GACGAACGCUGGCGGCGUGCUUAACACAUGCAAGUCGAACGGAAAGGCCCUGCUUUUGUGGGGUGCUCGAGUGGCGAACGGGUGAUUAACACGUGAGUAACCUGCCCUUGACUUUGGGAUAACUUCAUGAAACUGGGGCUAAUACCGGAUAGGAGCUCCUGCUGCAUGGUGGGGGUUGGAAAGUUUCGGCGGUUGGGGAUGGACUCGCGGCUUAUCAGCUUGUUGGUGGGGUAGUGGCUUACCAAGGCUUUGACGGGUAGCCGGCCUGAGAGGGUGACCGGCCACAUUGGGACUGAGAUACGGCCCAGACUACUACGGGAGGCAGCAGUGGGGAAUAGUGCACAAUGGGCGGAAGCAUGAUGCAGCAACGCCGCGUGCGGGAUGACGGCCUUCGGGUUGUAAACCGCUUUCGCCUGUGACGAAGCGUGAGUGACGGUAAUGGGUAAAGAAGCACCGGCUAACUACGUG
rnacentral:rRNA from 1 species